GACCACGGGAAAGCCACCACGAUAGUGGGGAGCCUCGCGGAGGAGGAUAAGGACCACAUUAAGGCCUGCAGGAAGCCAAGGAUCCUUUGCCUCCAUGGAUUCUGGACCAGCGGUGAGAUCAUGAGGCGCCAGGUGAUCGGAAAGUGGUUUCGGCUAGAUUUCUGAAACUCCUUCUUGCGGAGGGUGUGGAGGAUCUUGAGCAUUAGUUCCACGCCCUUGCGGAGGAGGCGUUGUCUGAUGACCUCGGUCUUGGGAUCCAAAGGCUUCCCUUCAUAAUGAGGAAGACAAAGGCAUGUCUCCAUUCAAUCCCCUGCUUCCUCCUCGGAAAUUCUUUGGUGGGAAACUGAUUUCUAUGACGUACUCUAGAACCCCAUCGGCGGUGGCAAACCUAAGAUGCUAUGGUAUUUCAAUGAGAAUUGAUGGCCUUCAUCUUCGGUGUUUAAGGAUCCUCCGGUUGAGAGCGUAGAUAAAGAGAAACUGAUUGUUAUUUUUCAGAUGCAGAAGAGAAGAUGAUUGAGAGCCAUGUGUUUGGAGAGGUGACUGUCUCUACGGUUGCAGAUCAACGUUCGAUUUUGUUUCUACAUUGUCUUUUAUUUUAUUUGUUUAUAAAAAAGGCAAAGGGAAGAUCCCAACACCCAAAUGAAUUCAAUGAAUUUCUCUAAUAAUCUUAAUUUUUUAUUUAAAUAAUAUUUUUAAUAUUUUUCUAUUUUAAUUCUUUUAGAAAUGACUAUUUGUCAUUAUUGUUCU